AAAAAACAAGGGCGUCGUUUUCGUAGAUUGAAUUUACGUAUUGCGGCAGCGUUAACUCGCGGGUUUUUG
rnacentral:tRNA from 1 species